rnacentral:rRNA from 1 species
AUGUUGGGUUAAGUCCCGCAACGAGCGCAACCCUCGUCCCAUGUUGCCAGCGGAUAAUGCCGGGGACUCAUAGGAGACUGCCGGGGUCAACUCGGAGGAAGGUGGGGAUGACGUCAAGUCAUCAUGCCCCUUAAGUCCAGGGCUUCACGCAUGCUACAAUGGCUGGUACAAAGGGCUGCAAAACCGCAAGGUCGAGCGAAUCCCAAAAAGCCAGUCUCAGUUCGGAUUGGGGUCUGCAACUCGACCCCAUGAAGUCGGAGUCGCUAGUAAUCGCAGAUCAGCAAUGCUGCGGUGAAUACGUUCCCGGGCCUUGUACACACCGCCCGUCAAGUCAUGAAAGUCGGUAACACCCGAAGCCGGUGGCCCAACCCUUGUGGAGGGAGCCGUCGAAGGUGGGACUGGCGAUUAGGACUAAGUCGUAACAAGGUAA